AGGGUUUGACAUCCUGCGAAUCUCUUGGAAACUUGAGAGUGCCUUCGGGAGCGCAGUGACAGGUGGUGCAUGGCUGUCGUCAGCUCGUGUCGUGAGAUGUUGGGUUAAGUCCCGCAACGAGCGCAACCCACGUCUUUAGUUGCCAGCAUUUAGUUGGGCACUCUAGAGAGACCGCCGGUGAUAAACCGGAGGAAGGUGUGGAUGACGUCAAGUCAUCAUGCCCCUUACAUCCUGGGCUACACACGUACUACAAUGCUACGGACAAAGGGCAGCAAGUUCGCGAGGACAAGCAAAUCCCAUAAACCGUAGCUCAGUUCAGAUCGUAGGCUGCAACUCGCCUACGUGAAGGAGGAAUCGCUAGUAAUCGCAGGUCAGCAUAC
rnacentral:rRNA from 1 species